rnacentral:rRNA from 1 species
UGAGGAAUAUUGGUCAAUGGACGGAAGUCUGAACCAGCCAUGCCGCGUGUGUGAAGAAGGUCUUCGGAUUGUAAAGCACUUUAAGUUGGGAGGAAGGGCAGUAAGUUAAUACCUUGCUGCUUUGACGUUACCGACAGAAUAAGCACCGGCUAACUCUGUG